AUUGAACGCUGGCGGCAUGCCUUACACAUGCAAGUCGAACGGCAGCACGGGAGCAAUCCUGGUGGCGAGUGGCGAACGGGUGAGUAAUAUAUCGGAACGUGCCCAGGAGUGGGGGAUAACUGCUCGAAAGAGCAGCUAAUACCGCAUACGACCUGAGGGUGAAAGGGGGGGAUUGCAAGACCUCUCGCUAUUGGAGCGGCCGAUAUAAGAUUAGCUAGUUGGUGGGGUAAAGGCCUACCAAGGCAACGAUCUGUAGUUGGUCUGAGAGGACGACCGGCCACACUGGGACUGAGACACUGCCCAGACUCCUACGGGAGGCAGCAGUGGGGAAGUUUGGACAAUGGGCGCAAACCUGAUCCAGCAAUGCCGAGUGCAGGAAGAAGGCCUUCGUGUUGUAAACUGCUUUUGUCAGGGAAGAAAUCCUCUAGGCUAAUACCCUUGGGGGGAUGACGGUACCUGAAGAAUAAGCACCGGCUAACUACGUGCCAGCAGCCGCCGCCGUAA
rnacentral:rRNA from 1 species